AUAACAACAUCAUCUGUGUAUACGAGAAUCAUGGGUAUUUUAAAUUAAGCAUGGCAGCACGUAGAAAGUGGUCGAUAUACAUUGCAGGAAUUUCAGAGACGUACUGCUCACACUGUGGAGCAAAUUCUUUUAAAUGAAAUUGGUGAACCAAUAUUUAAUGAGGACAACUUACAAGAUAUCUUAAUUAAUAUACAGCCAUUGCCCAUUCCUCGACUUCCUAUUGGUGUCCAACAAGCUYCUCCAAAGAGCAGGACGAGGACGAAAUGUUGUAAUUCUUUUGGUUGAUGUUCAUGACAGACCAGCAAUAGGUGGUAGAAGAGAUCAAAGACGUGGGAGUUCUGAGACAGGGAUGCAUGGAAUGCAUUUUUU